GGUUAAGCGACUAAGCGUACACGGUGGAUGCCCUGGCAGUCAGAGGCGAUGAAGGACGUGCUAAUCUGCGAUAAGCGUCGGUAAGGUGAUAUGAACCGUUAUAACCGGCGAUUUCCGAAUGGGGAAACCCAGUGUGAUUCGUCACACUAUCAUUAACUGAAUCCAUAGGUUAAUGAGGCGAACCGGGGGAACUGAAACAUCUAAGUACCCCGAGGAAAAGAAAUCAACCGAGAUUCCCCCAGUAGCGGCGAGCGAACGGGGAGCAGCCCAGAGCCUGAAUCAGUGUGUGUGUUAGUGGAAGCGUCUGGAAAGGCGUGCGAUACAGGGUGACAGCCCCGUACACAAAAAUGCACAUACUGUGAGCUCGAUGAGUAGGGCGGGACACGUGGUAUCCUGUCUGAAUAUGGGGGGACCAUCCUCCAAGGCUAAAUACUCCUGACUGACCGAUAGUGAACCAGUACCGUGAGGGAAAGGCGAAAAGAACCCCGGCGAGGGGAGUGAAAAAGAACCUGAAACCGUGUACGUACAAGCAGUGGGAGCACGCUUAGGCGUGUGACUGCGUACCUUUUGUAUAAUGGGUCAGCGACUUAUAUUCUGUAGCAAGGUUAACCGAAUAGGGGAGCCGAAGGGAAACCGAGUCUUAACUGGGCGUUAAGUUGCAGGGUAUAGACCCGAAACCCGGUGAUCUAGCCAUGGGCAGGUUGAAGGUUGGGUAACACUAACUGGAGGACCGAACCGACUAAUGUUGAAAAAUUAGCGGAUGACUUGUGGCUGGGGGUGAAAGGCCAAUCAAACCGGGAGAUAGCUGGUUCUCCCCGAAAGCUAUUUAGGUAGCGCCUCGUGAAUUCAUCUCCGGGGGUAGAGCACUGUUUCGGCAAGGGGGUCAUCCCGACUUACCAACCCGAUGCAAACUGCGAAUACCGGAGAAUGUUAUCACGGGAGACACACGGCGGGUGCUAACGUCCGUCGUGAAGAGGGAAACAACCCAGACCGCCAGCUAAGGUCCCAAAGUCAUGGUUAAGUGGGAAACGAUGUGGGAAGGCCCAGACAGCCAGGAUGUUGGCUUAGAAGCAGCCAUCAUUUAAAGAAAGCGUAAUAGCUCACUGGUCGAGUCGGCCUGCGCGGAAGAUGUAACGGGGCUAAACCAUGCACCGAAGCUGCGGCAGCGACGCUUAUGCGUUGUUGGGUAGGGGAGCGUUCUGUAAGCCUGUGAAGGUGUGCUGUGAGGUAUGCUGGAGGUAUCAGAAGUGCGAAUGCUGACAUAAGUAACGAUAAAGCGGGU
rnacentral:rRNA from 1 species